CACCCCCAGUUUGGGAGCACCCUCUCCCUCUCCUCCCCCCACAGCUGUGACCGUUACUCCUCCUUGAGGAGUAACCGCUCCGCACCCUAUCCCAGCCCCUAUACCCACAGGAGUGCAUCACCCACUGCUUAUUCAGACACCUCGUCUACCUGUCUGUCCAUGUUGCCGUCCCAUGACAACUGGUCCAGCCUACAGGUGCCGUCCCAUUCCGGCAUGUUACCCAUGAGUCAUAGCGGCACCUCCGGGAGCAGCUCCAGGCAACACUGCAUGCUGAUUUAACGUCUUUCCUUAAUCUCCACCCCAUUGCUCACACACAGCCAGUAUCCCGGUUUGUGGUCAAUGAGCUCCUCCUCGCUCACUCCAGUUUCCCAGUCCAGUGGAAUGUACAA